rnacentral:rRNA from 1 species
UACGUAGGGGCAAGCGUUGUCCGGAAUUAUUGGGCGUAAAGAGCGUGUAGGCGGCCAGAUAAGUCCGCUGUGAAAUCUCGAGGCUCAACUUCGAGCUGUCGGUGGAAACUAUCUGGCUAGAGUCCGGAAGAGGAGAAUGGAAUUCCUGGUGUAGCGGUGAAAUGCGCAGAUAUCAGGAAGAACACCCGUGGCGAAGGCGGUUCUCUGGGACGGUACUGACGCUGAGACGCGAAAGCGUGGGGAGCGAACAGG